UGAAUUCCGUGUAUUCGAGGCAGAGGAAGAUGAUGUUGAAGGGAUUCCUGACGAGAUUACCCGUCUUCUUGAGUAUGAAAAGAAGAUCAUUCAGCUGCAUCUUGAGAAUUAGAAAAACAGUCAAAUUGGGGCAUUACAAUAUAAAAAAAAAGGGGGUGAAAAAUAAAAGAAUAAAAUCAAAAUCAAAAAAAAAAAAUAUGUAAA
rnacentral:lncRNA from 1 species